CCAAAUGGCAAGGAUCCUCUCACCGACGUCAUGACGUCACGAGAAGCCUCCCCGCCCCCUGGCCUGGCUUUUAUCAGUUUAUCAUAUUAAAAGUGCUUUCACACAGUUAAGGUAAAGGUCACAGAUCAGUUGAACAUCUCAUGAGCCCAGGGGUUCAAGAAUGGGUCUCAAGUGAUUUCUCCUGGUGCCAAAACCAGGAUCUGAUUCAAAUGUGUAGGGAAGCCUUCCUAGCAUUUCCUGCUGAUGUUUUCUAUGGACUUUGUGAAAAGAAACUUGCAGAACUUGACCCCCAUCACUGUAUGUGGCCCCCUCAGUGGCUGGGUUCACCUCGACCUUUACUCACUUGAUCUCCAAACCAUUCGACCUACUGUCCACACUGGAAUGAUGUGACUGGAAAAAGCUGUCAAAGAGUUGAACUCAUACAACAUGUGUACGUAAUGAUGAAGCAUGCCUUGAAUAAACCUGGUGUAAUAAACCUUUUUUUCACAG